rnacentral:rRNA from 1 species
AUAAGAUUUUAAUUGAAUGCUAAGAGAAUGGAAGUCCAGAAAAAAACUUUUUUUAAAUUAAAAAUUGAAGUUUUUUUAAUUUGUGCAGAAACAAUUAUUUAUAUUAAAGACAAGAAGACCCUAUGAAUUUAUUAAAUUUUUAUUUAAUAUGUAAUUACUAUUAGAAAAAUUUUGGCUGGGGCGGUUAGAAAAUAUUAUGAACUUUUUAAAAAUAAAAUGAUCCAUUAUUAAUGAUUUUAUGUUAAAUACUCUAGGGAUAACAGCGUUAUAUUUUUUGAUAGAUCAUAUUGACAAAAAAGUUUGCGACCUCGAUGUUGGAUUAGGAUACUUUUUUAAUGAAGAUAUUAAAAAAAGAAGUU